GUAAGGAAUAUUGCACAAUGGGCGAAAGCCUGAUGCAGCAACGCCGCGUGGGUGAUGAAGGCCUUCGGGUCGUAAAACCCUUUUCUGGGGGAAGAGUAAGGACGGUACCUCAGGAAUAAGCACCGGCUAACUACGUGCCAGCAGCCGCGGUAACACGUAGGGUGCAAGCGUUAUCCGGAUUUACUGGGCGUAAAGCGCGCGCAGGCGGCAUCGUAAGUUGGACGUGAAAUCUUUCGGCUUAACCGGGAGGCGCCGUUCAAAACUACGAUGCUCGAGGGCAGAAGAGGGGAGUGGAAUUCCCGGUGUAGUGGUAAAAUGCUUAGAUAUCGGGAGGAACACCAGUGGCGAAGGCGACUCCCUGGUCUGCACCUGACGCUGAGGCGCGAAAGCGUGGGGAGCGAACGGGAUUAGAAACCCGAGUAGUCC
rnacentral:rRNA from 1 species